ensembl:lncRNA
CGCGUCACCAUAUAUUUGUACACCAAGAGUGAACCCUAAUGUAAACUAUGGACUUUGGGUGAUAACGAAGUAUCAGGGUAGGCUCACUGAGUGUAACGAAUGUACCACCCUGGCAGGGGCAUGUUGAUAAUGGGGCAGGCUACACAUGGGUGGGGGGUGCUUUAAGGGAAACCUCUGCACUUUACUUUCAAUUUUGCUGUGAACCUAAAGUUGCUCUAAAAAAUAAAGUCCAAAAAAAAAAAAAACAACUCGGAGGAUCCGGUAUCUUUUUUCAGUUGUAUUGAUUAGGGCCAUUUUCAUCUUAAUUAACGUGGUGCUUUCACUGUGAGGAUUCCGAAGAAUGAAACAGCAACGUGGAAUGGUCUCACAAAAGCAAAUCUUACCAAGUAGUCAAAUAAAAUCACUCCCUAUGUGAAAAUACACGUUAGGCUGGAUAAUGUUGGAACCCCCUUCCCGGUGAAGAAAAACAGAACAAGUUUGAAAGAAUAGUAAACUUAAUUCUAAAGUGGAGAUUUUUAUUUUUUGCUGGAAUAAAAACACUUUAGGGGGGUAGUGGGUACAAGAAAAAGUGCCGCGACUCAAGUGUACAACCUGGGACAACUUCGCCUCCCUCCUUACCUGAACUAAAAGUAAUGUCACACAUGUUAAGGCUUAUAUUCUUAAGUCACACAGGCCCAACUACUUGGGGGAUUAGCUGUCACUUCAUAUCCUCUUCAAGAGUGGUGCUACCGACUAGGAAGGCCAAGGGCCGAAGAAAGUCACCUUGGCACCCACGCCUCAAAGGAGCAGUUUGGGUUUCUCAGGAGGUGCCACCUGGACAUCCUGGGAAUAUGGUUAUCCUGCGUUUUGACUUCUUUUGAGCACUUGAAGCCUACACUUAGGUGUAAGGGACAGAACCGUCUGAUGAAGACACAGGCCACCUGAUUUUCUCCUAGAAAGCAGGGCCCAAGUGGACUAUUUCAAACUGGCUACACAUCUCUGCAAUUUAAAAUUUUCCUACUGCUAUCUCUUCACGGAGUCUCAAAAGCAGUUUUCAGGCAAGGCAAACGUAUUCGAGAAAGUUCAGGCGCAGGGUGUUGUUCUGAGAUUUCCUUUUCUUGGGAAGGGAAAGGGGGUCGCGGAGCGUCUUUCUGACCACCAGGGGAAAGUCUUCCACAAAUGUCAUCCGGCUGGGGGCAACCUAUGGACUUUGGGAAGUCAGUUGGGACAGUCACGAGCCACCACCUCUGACCUCUCGGGACCUGCUCGACUGGAGCCCGGGAGGAGGACAGCGCGGGCUUCCCCGCGGGGCAGAGGCCGCCCCCUCCCGGCAGGGGAGCAGCGCCAGCGCCGUCGGACGUGCGGACCCGCCGGGGUCCCGGCAGCCGCAGCAGCGCCCCCGGGAGAGGUGUGGGAAUCAAGACAUUGUUGUCAUCACUGACAGGCUGGAUUGUUACUAUUAUUCUCUUGUACCUGGAGUCCAUAAAAUAAUUCAAGGUUUGUUCUCCUUCCUUGUUUUUUUUCUCAAUGCAUGAUAAUUUUAAGCAGAAAUUUAAGACAUCAGUAUAUACGUAUGUUUACAAAAUCAUAAUAUUAUAGGAAAUAAUAACUUUAGCAAAAAUCUCAAGAAUUUUCUUGAAUCAUUCCAUCAUUGUGAUAUUUGGAGAUAUAUAGAACAGUCUACACUACCAGAAGGAAAUAAGGUCAUUAGAAAAGUAAAGAUCUCUGAUGGUGAUUUGUCAUAGUAACGAAAAAGGAAUUUCCUAAGCAUCAAACUUAAGUCUGUAACGCACUCAUUUACUACGGUUUUUAUGAUUAUUAUAGCAGAUGCUACAUAUCAUUAAUAUUUUGUCAAACAAAAAAAUUCUUAUCAACUCAUAAUUUCCUACAAUUUUACUAUAAUAAAUAAAAAUAAAGGAAUACUUUUUCCCA